AAAAAAGCUUUCUUUGCUCUGGUGGCGAACGGUGUUCGGGCGGCGCCUCUGUGGGAUAACAAGCUGCAGUGUUUUGUAGGUAUGCUGACCAUCACAGACUUUAUCAACAUUCUCCACCGGUAUUGGCAGUCUCCUCUGGUAGAGAUCUACGAACUGGAGGAGCACAAGAUAGAAGACUGUAGAG